rnacentral:rRNA from 1 species
AGAGUUUGAUCCUGGCUCAGGAUGAACGCUAGCGGCAGGCCUAACACAUGCAAGUCGAGGGGCAGCACAGGUAGCAAUACUGGGUGGCGACCGGCGCACGGGUGAGUAACGCGUAUGCAACCUGCCCGCCACAGGGGGAUAGCCCGCCGAAAGGCGGAUUAAUACCCCAUCGCCCCACGUUCCGGCAUCGGGAUGUGGGUAAAGGAGCGAUCCGGUGGCGGAUGGGCAUGCGUGCCAUUAGCUGGUUGGCGGGGUAACGGCCCACCAAGGCGACGAUGGCUAGGGGGUCUGAGAGGAUGGUCCCCCACACUGGUACUGAGACACGGACCAGACUCCUACGGGAGGCAGCAGUGAGGAAUAUUGGUCAAUGGGCGGAAGCCUGAACCAGCCAUGCCGCGUGCAGGAAGACGGCCCUACGGGUUGUAAACUGCUUUUCCGGGGGAAGAAUAAGGCCCACGCGUGGGCCGAUGCCGGUACCCCGGGAAUAAGGAUCGGCUAACUCCGUGCCAGCAGCCGCGGUAAU